rfam:Salmo salar isolate Sally breed double haploid chromosome ssa01, whole genome shotgun sequence.
UGCACUCACUACUCUAAGUCGCUCUGUAUAAGAGCAUCUGCUAAAUGACUAAAA